rnacentral:rRNA from 1 species
UACGUAGGUGGCGAGCGUUGUCCGGAUUUACUGGGCGUAAAGAGCGCGCAGGCGGUCGGAUUAGUCGCGUGUGAAAGCCCCCGGCUCAACUGGGGAGGGUCACGCGAUACUGUUCGACUCGAAGGCAGGAGAGGGAAGUGGAAUUCCCGGUGUAGUGGUGAAAUGCGUAGAUAUCGGGAGGAACACCAGUGGCGAAGGCGACUUCCUGGCCUGUUCUUGACGCUGAGGCGCGAAAGCUAGGGUAGCAAACGGG